rnacentral:rRNA from 1 species
UUCCUCUGGGAAGUAAAAAAUCGUAACAAGGUUUCCGUAGGUGAACCUGCGGAAGGAUCAUUAUUGAAUUUUGAAAGGGGUUGUAGCUGGCCUUUCAUGAGGCAUGUGCACGCUCUGCUCAUCCAUUCUACACCUGUGCACACUCUGUGGGUCGGUUUGAAUUGAUUCUCUCAGGAGAAUUGUUUGGCCUUCCUAUGUUUUAUUAUACAUACUCCAAGUUAAAGAAUGUAAUCUGCGUUUUAACGCAUCUUAUACAACUUUCAGCAACGGAUCUCUUGGCUCUCGCAUCGAUGAAGAACGCAGCGAAAUGCGAUAAGUAAUGUGAAUUGCAGAAUUCAGUGAAUCAUCGAAUCUUUGAACGCACCUUGCACUCCUUGGUAUUCCGAGGAGUAUGCCUGUUUGAGUGUCAUGGAAUUCUCAACUCCCUUACCUUUGUUGGUAGGCAGAGCUUGGACUUGGAGGUUUUUGCUGGCUCUUAUUGAAUCAGCUCCUCUUGAAUGUAUUAGCUUGAAUCCUUGUGGAACGGCUCUUCGGUGUGAUAAUUGUCUAUGCCGUUGGCUGUGAAGCUUUAUGCACCCUUGGGUGUGAGGAUUGGCUUCUAAUAAUCUUUAAAUGGACAAUCUUUGACUUCUGGCCUCAAAUCAGGUAGGAUUACCCGCUGAACUUAAGCAUAUCAAA